CUUUUUUCGCACUCCGAGGACUCUCCUCUCCACGGAUUGGCUGCAAGUGGAGAAGGGGGGCUGGCAGUUGCGAAAGCCACAAAUAAGUUUCUCUUCAGGUCACUCACUGUACAUGAGAAAGUUGAAGUGUUUAAUUUUGGAGCCUCAUCCGAGAGCGACGGAGUCGAUAAAGUUUUUAAACGUUUUUCCAUUCAAGUAUGGUCGGAGAUUACUGUUCUAUUUCAGGCGAAAAUACGGAUAUGCACUCACAGAGGAACGCAAAAAGCGGAUUAAGUUGUAAAAUGGUUCUUCAGGCGGUGGGCAAAGUUUUAAGGAAGUCUAAGACGAAGCCCAAUGGGAAGAAGCCGCCAGCGGAAGAGAAGAAGCAGUAUCUGGAGGCGGAGUUCACUAAAGUACGCGUGGUCGACUUCGACCUCAAAGAGCUGGUGCUGCUGCCCAGGGAGAUAGACCUCAACGAAUGGCUCGCCAGCAACACGACGACCUUCUUCAAUCUAAUAAACCUGCAGUACAGCACCAUCUCAGAGUUCUGUACUGGAGACACCUGUCAAGCCAUGACGGCCUGCAACACGUAAGUCAUCUCCCCCACCAUUGGUUUAUUCAUCAGUUCUCUAACCUCCAAUUGGGUUAUUUAUCAGUCUCACAACCCAUUGGAUAAUUUAUCAAGGAUGCGCUGACACGGCAACAGACCGUCUGUUGAAAGCAGGAGAGCUCCUGACCACAGGGCUGUACUCAAUGUUCCCUAUGUCUUUCUGUUGUUUGUGUCCCUUCUCUGUCUGGCUCUCUGUCUCUGUCUGGCUCUCUGUCUCUGUCUGGCUCUCUGUCUCUGUCUGGCUCUCUGUCUCUGUCUGGCUCUCUGUCUCUGUCUGGCUCUCUGUCUGGCUCUCUGUCUGGCUCUCUGUCUGGCUCUCUGUCUGGCUCUGUCUGGCUCUCUGUCUGGCUCUCUGUCUGGCUCUCUGUCUGGCUCUCUGUCUCUGUCUGGCUCUCUGUCUGGUUCUCUGUCUGGCUCUGUCUCUGUCUGGCUCUGUCUGGCUCUGUCUGGCUCUGUCUCUGUCUGGCUCUCUGUCUGGCUCUGUCUCUGUCUGGCUCUCUCUCUCUGUCUGGCUCUCUCUCUACUCACUCACUCACUCUACUCACUCACUCACUCUACUCACUCACUCACUCACUCACUCACUCUGUCUCUGUGUGUUCUAAAUUUGAGAACUUUAGAGGUAUCUGUUAGUCAAAGAAUGUCCGAAUAUGCUGCGAGUAUUCUCGAAUCACAUGAGCCUUUCUGAGGUAUCGUGUGUUCCUGUCUGCACUGGUGCAUAGUGAGGUCUCUGAACACAGUGUUCCUGUCUGGACUGGUGCAUAGUGAGGUCUCUGAACACAGUGUUCCUGUCUGCACUGGUGCAUAGUGAGGUCUCUGAACACAGUGUUCCUGUCUGGACUGGUGCAUAGUGAGGUCUCUGAACACAGUGUUCCUGUCUGGACUGGUGCAUAGUGAGGUCUCUGAACACAGUGUUCCUGUCUGGACUGGUGCAUAGUGAGGUCUCUGAACACAGUGUUCCUGUCUGGACUGGUGCAUAGUGAGGUCUCUGAACACAGUGUUCCUGUCUGGACUGGUGCAUAGUGAGGUCUCUGAACACAGUGUUCCUGUCUGGACUGGUGCAUAGUGAGGUCUCUGAACACAGUGUUCCUGUCUGGACUGGUGCAUAGUGACGUCUCUGAACACAAUGUUCCUGUCUGGACUGGUGCAUAGUGAGGUCUCUGAACACAAUGUUCCUGUCUGGACUGGUGCAUAGUGAGGUCUCUGAACACAAUGUUCCUGUCUGGACUGGUGCAUAGUGAGGUCUCUGAACACAAUGUUCCUGUCUGGACUGGUGCAUAGUGAGGUCUCUGAACACAGUGUUCCUGUCUGGACUGGUGCAUAGUGAGGUCUCUGAACACAAUGUUUCUGUCUGCACUGGUGCAUAGUGAGGUCUCUGAACACAGUGUUCCUGUCUGGACUGGUGCAUAGUGAGGUCUCUGAACACAGUGUUCCUGUCUGGACUGGUGCAUAGUGAGGUCUCUGAACACAGUGUUCCUGUCUGGACUGGUGCAUAGUGAGGUCUCUGAACACAGUGUUCCUGUCUGGACUGGUGCAUAGUGAGGUCUCUGAACACAGUGUUCCUGUCUGCACUGGUGCAUAGUGAGGUCUCUGAACACAGUGUUCCUGUCUGGACUGGUGCAUAGUGAGGUCUCUGAACACAAUGUUCCUGUCUGCACUGGUGCAUAGUGAGGUCUCUGAACACAGUGUUCCUGUCUGGACUGGUGCAUAGUGAGGUCUCUGAACACAGUGUUCCUGUUUGGACUGGUGCAUAGUGACGUCUCUGAACAUAGUGUUCCUGUCUGGACUGGUGCAUAGUGAGGUCUCUGUACACAAUGUUCCUGUCUGGACUGGUGCAUAGUGAGAUCUCUGAACACAGUGUUCCUGUCUGGACUGGUGCAUAGUGAGGUCUCUGAACACAGUGUUCCUGUCUGCACUGGUGCAUAGUGAGGUCUCUGAACACAGUGUUCCUGUCUGGACUGGUGCAUAGUGAGGUCUCUGAACACAAUGUUCCUGUCUGCACUGGUGCAUAGUGAGGUCUCUGAACACAGUGUUCCUGUCUGGACUGGUGCAUAGUGAGGUCUCUGAACACAGUGUUCCUGUCUGCACUGGUGCAUAGUGAGGUCUCUGAACACAAUGUUCCUGUCUGGACUGGUGCAUAGUGAGGUCUCUGUACACAAUGUUCCUGUCUGGACUGGUGCAUAGUGAGGUCUCUGAACACAAUGUUCCUGUCUGGACUGGUGCAUAGUGAGGUCUCUGAACACAGUGUUCCUGUCUGGACUGGUGCAUAGUGAGGAUAGAGAGCAGAGAUCAAACCGUUCUGAGGAGAUUUUAUUUCUGUGCGUUCCAAUGCCAACGUAACUAUCUAGCUAAUAGUUGUUGCCCCUGUCGUAAAACCCUUUCAAACAUAUAGAAGUCAUUAUGGGAGAACAUGAGUCAUCACUAUACCAGCACUCUGAUGAUAGUUUAGCUCAGAAGUCCAAACAGGGUCGUAAAAUAUCACCGUCAGCCAUCGUUGUUCAUAAAGGAAUACCGAUACUCAGUACAGAGAGCUCCUGUUUAUUUACCUCGGUACAAAGGCAGGGCAUCCCGCUGCAGUAGUGAAACAAGUGUUAGACAUAACAUGUUCAUCUGUUCAUCCCUGUCAAGCAGAGUGGAGGAGGUUGACUGAGUAUUUACCCAAUGAGUUGACCCUCUCGGGGCGGGGUAGCGUCUUGGAAAGA